rnacentral:lncRNA from 1 species
CGGUGGGGAGGAGUUCAUACCUGAGAGAGAGAUGCCGAGACGAAAGCCCGAGAGAGAUGCCGAGAUGGAGAGAAAGCUUGAGGGAGAUGCUGAGACAGAGAGAAUCGGAGAAAGCUUGAGGGAGACACUGACCGGAGAAUCGAGAUUUGAACAAAUUUGGGAAAAAUUUUCCCAUGGGGACCAGAGAGCAGACAGGAAAAAUUUGGGAUUUAACAGGG